rnacentral:rRNA from 1 species
UACAGAGGUCCCAAGCGUUGUUUGGAUUCAUUGGGCGUAAAGGGUGCGUAGGCGGCGCGGUAAGUCGGGUGUGAAAUCUCGGGGCUUAACUCCGAAACUGCAUUCGAUACUGCCGUGCUUGAGGACUGGAGAGGAGACUGGAAUUUACGGUGUAGCGGUGAAAUGCGUAGAUAUCGUAAGGAAGACCAGUGGCGAAGGCGGGUCUCUGGACAGUUCCUGACGCUGAGGCACGAAGGCCAGGGGAGCAAACGGG